CGGAACAGCCGGACGGCCGCCGUAACAGUUUUGUUAGGGAGGAAAGUCCGAACACCAAAGGGCAGCGAGCCGGAUAACGUCCGGGCACCCGUUAAUUCGGGUGACGACAAGUGCAACAGAGAACAGACCAGCCCUUCGGGGUGAUGGGUGAAACGGUGGGGUAAGAGCCCACCGGCGUCCGCUGCAAGGCGGGCGGCCAGGUAACCCCCGUCAGGAGCAAGGCCAAGCAGGGGCGAGCUGCUGCUCGCAGCGUCCGAGCCCCGGGUCGGCCGCUAGAGCCGGACAGCAAUGUCCGGCCCAGAGAGAUGACGGCCUAAAACAGAACGCGGCUUACGGGUCGGCCUGGACG
rnacentral:RNase_P_RNA from 1 species